CUACACGGGUAUCUAAUCCUGUUUGCUCCCCACGCUUUCGCGCCUCAGCGUCAGUUUUCGUCCAGAAAGUCGCCUUCGCCACCGGUGUUCUUCCUAAUAUCUACGCAUUUCACCGCUACACUAGGAAUUCCACUUUCCUCUCCGAUACUCCAGUCUCCCAGUUUCCAUCCCAUCACGGGGUUAAGCCCCGCACUUCUAAGAUGGACUUAAGUGACCGCCUGCGCGCGCUUUACGCCCAAUAAUUCCGGACAACGCUUGCCACCUACGUAUUACCGCGGCUGCUGGCAC
rnacentral:rRNA from 1 species